AAGAGUAUUCGGAAGCAAUGGUGAGGGAAGGAGAUCUGGACGGCGAUGGAGCUCUCAACGAGACGGAGUUCUGCAUCUUGAUGGUCAGGCUCAGCCCUGGGAUGAUGGAAGACGCCGAGGCGUGGCUUGAGAAGGCCCUCCAUCCGGAGCUGCAACGAUCUGCUUAGUUAGUUU